AUUGAACGCUGGCGGCAGGCCUAACACAUGCAAGUCGAACGAGUGGCGGACGGGUGAGUAAUGUCUGGGAAUCUGCCCGAUAGCGGGGGAUAACUACUGGAAACGGUAGCUAAUACCGCAUACCAUCGGAUGUGCCCAGAUGGGAUUAGCUAGUAGGUGGGGUAACGGCUCACCUAGGCGACGAUCCCUAGCUGGUCUGAGAGGAUGACCAGACACACUGGAACUGAGACACGGUCCAGACUCCUACGGGAGGCAGCAGUGGGGAAUAGUGCACAAUGGGCGCAAGCCUGAUGCAGCCAUGCCGCGUGUAUGAAGAAGGCCUUCGGGUUGUAAAGUACUUUCAGCGAGGAGGCGUUACUCGCAGAAGAAGCACCGGCUAACUCCGUGCCAGCAGCCGCGGUAAUGC
rnacentral:rRNA from 1 species